UCUUACAUUUUGUCAGGAAUUGUAGGUUUGGAGGCAUUAAAGGGAUAGUUUGGAUUUUUGGACAAGAGGUCGUAUUACAUCCUCAUCAGCGGUGUCGGGCAUCAGCAGUGCCUUUUCCCCCACUGCGUCCCGUGAGCGGAGUUCUGGCCCGGUUUUUGCGCUGCAGAAAGUAGUUUUGCUUCAAAAAAUAAUAUGCAUUCAAAAGAGUAAUACAUUUGCAUCACGAAUUGUUGGCCGUGAAAAAGUCUGACCUCAUCCGGCACUAUUUUCCCUCCCUUCAUAUUACUGGGCGUACCUUUUCAUCAGCUGAAGGAGGCAAAAGGAGACUGCUACGACGCUUCUCUCGCUGUCCAUUUGACAUGGCACAUUGUACACUUUAGCAAACUAACCAUUUUCUCUCUAAUCUGUUAAGAUUACCCGCUUGGCAUUAGUCGGAGGGACCAAUGCCGAAAAUAUGAUCCGGCGAAUGCUAUCCGCUACCAUGGCAAACCGUGUAGCAUGCAUCUUCAACUGGGCGGGAAAGGGACCGAAGAGGGCCUUCAAGGACACGUUAAUGCAGGACUGCAUGUUUGUUGACAGAAUUGCAGUACAGGGGUGCCCUGCAGAAGUGGCUGCGUUACGCACCGGAGAGGAGUGGCGGGGUACCAAGAAAAGGCAAAGAUUAAGGACUAUUAAGGACAAAUGUUACUGUAAUGUUCUAAUUACAGGGUUAAUUAUAGGGUUAAUGUUCAUAAUUCCUUAAGAUGUUUGUUUAUAAUUGCUUUUGAAUAUUUAUUAAAUAACUUUUUGAAUAAUGGUCUGUUUUGUUGUUGUAGUUUUUUUGUUCAUAGAGCAUUCAAUAAAGCAGCUGUUCUAAACCUUGGUUUCUUAAAAAGAA